AUUGAACGCUGGCGGCAGGCUUAACACAUGCAAGUCGAGCGAGCGGCGGACGGGUGAGUAAUGUCUGGGAAACUGCCUGCUGGAGGGGGAUAACUACUGGAAACGGUAGCUACUACCGCAUACCAUCAGAUGUGCCCAGAUGGGAUUAGCUAGUAGGUGGGGUAAUGGCUCACCUAGGCGACGAUCCCUAGCUGGUCUGAGAGGAUGACCAGCCACACGGGAACUGAGAAACGGUCAGGACUCCAACGAGAGGCAGCAGGGGGGAAUAUGGCACAAGGGGCGAAAGCCUGAUGCAGCCAUGCCGCGGGUGUGAAGAAGGCCUUCGGGUUGUAAAGCACUUUCAGCGAGUAGGCGUUACUCGCAGAAGAAGCACCGGCUAACUCCGUGCCAGCCGCCGCGGUAAUUC
rnacentral:rRNA from 1 species